CUCCCGCUAACGUCUUUUCCGCGUCCCGCUCCUGAGAACCUUGGCUCGGGAGAGCGACGCAGGCCCUCGGGGCUGCGCAGGCCGGCGCCCUGACUGCGCCCACACGAGAGCAAGGCUCGCUCACCGCCCCUGCCCUCACCUUCACCUCCUCGAGAGCGAGGCCCAGAAGCAGAGGCUUGGCCCCAAGUUUGCGUCGGGGCCUCCUAAUCCUUGGCGUGGUGUGUCUCUGGUCAUUUGGGGUUCUUGAGUACCAGGGACAGCGCCUGGCCCCCGGAUUUCUGUGCACGUGACCCGGCGGGGCAGGAAAGGAAAUUUGGAGUUUUAGGGGCGCACGUGGUUCUCACAGUCCCCACAAGAGGUCUUCCCUGGAGGGUUCCGGCAGCCACAGCGUGAAGCAGGGCCAGGAACGGUGAAACAGUGCCCCCGGAGGAGGAGGAAGGGUCGCAGGGGGCAGCGACGGGGCCUGGGGCCUUGCAGGGGACAGUGACAAAGAGCCCAGGAAGCCAUUCUGCCCAGGGGAACACCGCGCGUUUCCAGUUCAAAUUUCCCGUUUCAUAAUGGUGCAUCAUCCGGGAAUUUUAUAAGUCAAUCCUCUUCACGUCGAACGACAAAGAGCCCAGGAAGCCAUUCUGCCCAGGGGAACACCGCGCGUUUCCAGUUCAAAUUUCCCGUUUCAUAAUGGUGCAUCAUCCGGGAAUUUUAUAAGUCAAUCCUCUUCACGUCGAACGAUGGGAAGCAUGUCAUCCAUACUACAUAAAGACAGCCCCUAAGACGCAUCCUCAAAAAAUUGGGAUAAAUUUGACCUACAGACCUGAAAAAAAAAUAGUGCCUGAUUUCUCUUUGCCCUCAGGUUUGGCCUCAAUACCAACUUUCUGUAGGAAAAAUGGGAAGUAGUUGGAAGUCACAUAUGUCCAGGCUUUCUUUACUCUAGGGGACAGCCAAAGGUAGGCAGGGAAACUGUAAACUUAGUCUUUUGCUCUUAGCAAUAACAAUCCAAAGUCCACCCAGGGAAAGGUGGAGACCAUGCCCCCGCCCAGGAUUGAGCCAAUCUUAACUUGCCCCAAGACAAAUGAAGGAUCUGGUCGUACUUUAGCCUAGAUUCCCUUCUCACCCUGGGACAUGACACAAAUUAAAAAUAAUUUAGGAAAGUUCUUGGAAGACUCUGACAAAUAUAUUAAGGUUUUCCAAACCCUUAUUCAAGUGUAUAAUCUCUCAUACAGAGAAUUAGAGACACCAUGUUCAUAUUAAACUUGACCCUCUCAGCAACUGAAAAGCAAGGAAUACUAGAAAAAGCAAGAGAAUCUGGAGAUAACCAUUUUCUUACUUAUGCCAGGGAAAUAAAGGACUCUGAGCAAAGAAGUAGGGAUAUAACAGGACAGGAGUCCCUCAGUAGAAUCCUGAAACUAAAAGGUAGAAAAUAAACCACUGCCAGUUCUGUAUUAUAGAAGGCCUCAGAUGUAGUAAAACAAAGCCUGUCAGCUACUCUAAAUUAACCACCAUUCAUCAAGGGGAUGACAAAAACCCCUCAGCUUUUUAGAAAGGCUCAGGGAGGCAUUGGUUAAGUACACCAGCAUUACCCCAGAUUCAGAAUUGGGACAACUAAUUUUAAAGGACAAAUUUAUCACUCAGGCAGUCCCAGACAUUAGGAGGUUGCAAGAAUUGGCUAUUGGUCCCAAGAGUAAUUUAGAAAAUCUCCUGAAAGUUACCACCUCUGUGUUCUAUAAUAGAGACCAGGAGAAGGAAAAAAGGAGAAACAGGAAAAGCCAGAACUAAGGCUCUUUGUGCCAUGCUCCAGAAGAGCAAGGGCUCCAAGUCAGAGCCCAGAGGUGAAUGGUCAGUCCCAGCCACCUGCUACAACUGUAGAGAGGUUGGACUUAUCCACCGUAGUUGCUCCAAGGAGCAUGGCAGACCCCAAAGCCCUGUCCUGUCUGUCAAGGAAAUCAUGGUAAGUCAACUGCCCCAGGAGGUGGAGGUUCCUUGGGGCAGGGCUGGCGACCCAGCUGGCCCAACAGGACUGAUGGGGCUCGGGGUCUCUCACUGCUGCUCCUCAGAGGACUGCCAUCUCCACCGAGGAGCCCCGGGUAAGUCUGACAGUGGGGGGCAAGGAAAUUAAUUUCCUACCCAAUGCUGGAGCCACCUUCUCUGUAUUCCUCCCAAACCCUCAGAGGCUGUAGCUGUUACAGGUUUAUCUGGGAAGCCAUGAGAGAGAUAUUUUUCUCAGCCUUCAGGGUGCAGCUAGGGUAAGUUGCCUGUUUCCCAUGCCUUCCAGAUCCUGCAGAAAGCCUCAUAUCCACUUCAGAGACAGUAUCCUCUGAACCCUGAGGCUCUAGAACCGUGGUUCUCAACAUUCCUAAUGCCGCGACCCUUUAAAACAGUUCCUCAUGUUGUGGUGACCCCCAACCAUAAAAUUAUUUUCAUUGCUACUUCAUAACUGUAAUUUUGC